rnacentral:lncRNA from 1 species
AGGCAAUUGAAGUUCAGUGACUUGCCCAGGGUCACACAACUAAUAAGUGUUAAAUGUCUUCUGAGGCCAGAUUUGAACUCAGGUUCACCUGACUUCACGGUUUCUGCUCUAUCGACUGCACCAUCUAGCUGCUCUUCAACUCACAGGUCUUGGUAAACCAGGUAGGGUGUUGAACAAAGAACUAUUGCUCGACAAGGCAGUGAUCAGAGACAUCUGAAGACCUGGGAUAAGGUAAGACUGGCAACCAGUGACCUGGGUGGUCACAAGUGGCAGCCCAACAUGGGGGCAGUGCUUUCAGGGUCAUCAGGCCCGGUAAGGAAAGGUUCAACAGCCUCGUUGAGAGACAGGAAGGCAAGGGAG